GGAUAGGUGGGAGCCUUUGAAACCAGUACGCUAGUAUUGGUGGAGGCAAUCUUGAAAUACCACCCUUGUAUGCUUGAUGUUCUAACGUUGGCCCCUUAUCGGGGUUGCGGACAGUGCCUGGUGGGUAGUUUGACUGGGGCGGUCUCCUCCCAAAGAGUAACGGAGGAGCACGAAGGUGGGCUAAACACGGUUGGACAUCGUGUGGUUAGUGCAAUGGCAUAAGC
rnacentral:rRNA from 1 species